UGAAUUGAUCUAUGAUUUAUAUUCUUAUCUUAUAUUUUAAAGAACGAAAAUCACUGAUAUAUUUUAGAAUAUAGAGGAUGUACUCCAGAAUAGCAGCUGGUCUACUAAUCCUUGCAGUGUCUACUGAUUUGGCAUUACCUUGUCCGAACAGCUGUUCAUGUAUCACACCAUAUGGGAGUGUUAUUGUACUUUGCAAUGGCACAGGAUUGCCUGAUAUUCCACAAAACAUCCCAAAUGACGCAUACGCUAUACAUUUGGAUAAAAACCCCAUUACCAUAAUCGAAAAUGGAGCUUUUCAAAAUAUGACAUCGUUGUAUACACUAAAUUUGUUUUGGUGUAACAUAUCAACCAUUGAGACGGGCGCAUUUAUAAAUUUGCCAAAUCUUCAAAAUUUAUAUUUGGACAACAAUAGAAUACUUUCUCUACAUCAAGCAACAUUUAAAGACCUAUCAGCACUCACAAGACUCCAAUUGGACAACAAUAGAAUAACUACACUGCAGAAAGGAACAUUCCAAGACCUACAAGCACUCCGAGUCCUAUCCCUGAGUGGAAACAAUUUGACUUUUGUCAAGAAUGACACAUUUGAACAUAACAUCAACUAAGAAUUUUUGAUUCUGGAUUUAGUAUGUGGUUGUAACGUUGCCUUUUGGUCCUGGUCAAAGUCAAAGAGUGUCGGGCAUAUCAUAUAUAUCAUAAAAUGUUUGGAUCGGAAUAAUACAGAUUUAUACAGUCUUCAAGCAAGUGAUUUUGAUAAUUGUGACGACUACUCCUGUCAUCCUGACUAUUGUUCAAACGGUGGAUUUUGUAGUCAAAACAGUUAUGGUGAUUUAGUUUGUUCAUGCAUUGGUAACUGGACCGGUGAUACAUGUACAGAUAGGAAAUGCAGUAUGUUGGAAUGAGGAGCUGUUUCCUCUGGUGAGAGAUUCUAACAAUAAAAUGAAAGAUGAUAAGACUGUUAUGUCUGUUUUGUUCGUUGCGGACAUU